rnacentral:sRNA from 1 species
UAAAUGAAGAACGCAUAAC